rnacentral:rRNA from 1 species
UACGGAGGGUGCGAGCGUUGUCCGGAAUCACUGGGCGUAAAGGGCGCGUAGGCGGUGGGAGAAGUCUGUGGUGAAAGCUCGUGGCUCAACUACGAGUCGGCCAUGGAUACUCUUCGACUUGAGCACUGUAGAGGCAGGUGGAAUUCCGGGUGUAGCGGUGGAAUGCGUAGAGAUCCGGAAGAACACCGGUGGCGAAGGCGGCCUGCUGGGCAGUAGCUGACGCUGAGGCGCGACAGCGUGGGGAGCAAACAGGAUUAGAUACCCUGGUAGUCCACGCCGUAAACGAUGGGUACUAGGUGCUUGGGGGAGCGACCCCCUGAGUGCCGUCGCUAACGCAUUAAGUACCCCGCCUGGGGAGUACGGCCGCAAGGCUGAA